AAAACACAAUAUUGUUCGCCAGAGAACUACAAGUGAAAAACUCAAAACUCCAAGGACUUGGCGGUGCUCCACACCGACCUAGAGGAGCCUGUCCUAUAAUCGAUACCCCACGUUAAACCUUACCACCUUUCGCCAGUCAGCCUAUAUACCGCCGUCGUCAGCUUACCUUGUGAGAGAAACGAAGUAGGCAAAACAGUUAACAACAAGCACGUCAGGUCAAGGUGUAGCACAUAAGGUGGAAGAGAUGGGCUACAUUUUCUACCACAGAACACACGAAUGACACAUUGAAACAUCAACCUGAAGGCGGAUUUAGCAGUAAGGUGAACAAGCAACACCACCUUAAACCAGCUCUGGAGCGCGCACACACCGCCCGUCACCCUCAUCAC
rnacentral:rRNA from 1 species